UACGUAGGGGGGCAAGCGUUGUCCGGAUUUAUUGGGCGUAAAAGAGCGUGUAGGCGGCCUGAAAGGUCAGCUGUGAAAAACUCGAGGCUCAACCUCGAGACGUCGGUUGAAAACCAUCUGGCUAGAGUCCGGAAGAGGAGUGUGGAAUUCCCGGUGUAGCGGUGAAAUGCGCAGAUAUCGGGAAGAACACCCGUGGCGAAGGCGGCACUCUGGGACGGUACUGACGCUGAGACGCGAAAAGCGUGGGGGAGCGAACAGG
rnacentral:rRNA from 1 species